UUAAGCUACAAAGAGCGUAGGGAGAAUGCCUAGGUACCAAGAGCCGAAGAAGGACGUGAUAAGCUGCGAAAAGCCACGGGGAGGAGCAAAUAUCCAUCGAGCCGUGGGUGUCCGAAUGAGGGAACUCAUACAGUAAAAAAAGACUGUAUAUCCAUACAUGAGUAAAGUAGUGUAUAGGAAGGGAACGUGGGGAACUGAAACAUCUUAGUACCCAUAGGAAAAGAAAGUAAUAACGAUUCCUGAAGUAGUGGCGAGCGAAACAGGAAGAGCCCAAACCAUAGAUAGUAAUAUUUGUGGGGUUCGGAUUAUCAAUAAAGCCAAGAAUGAUGUUAGUAGAAUUACCAGGGAAGGUAAACCAAAGAAGGUGAAAGUCCUGUAUAUGAAAACAGAGUGAAGGCGAGAUAAAUCCAGAGUAGUGCGAGACACGAGAAAUCUCGUAUGAAAGAGCGGAGACCAUUCCGUAAGGCUAAAUACUACUUGGUAACCGAUAGAGAACAAGUACCGUGAGGGAACGGUGAAAAGGACCCCGGGAGGGGAGUGAAAGAGAACCUGAAACCCUAUGUUUACAAGCAGAUAGAGCGAUUUAAGGCGCGAUAUCGUACUUUUUGUAGAACGGUCCAGCGAGUUAUUGUAUAUGGCGAGGUUAAGUUCUGAAUAAGGAAUGGAGCCGAAGAGAAAUCGAGUCUGAAUAGGGCGAUAUAAGUCAUAUAUAAUAGACCCGAAACCGGGUGACCUAUCCAUGGUCAGGAUGAAGCUGAAGUAAAAUUCAGUGGAGGUCCGAACUGAUUGUCGUUAAAAAGGCACCGGAUGAACUGUGGAUAGCGGAGAAAUUCCAAUCGAACUCGGAGAUAGCUGGUUCUCCUCGAAAUAGCUUUAGGGCUAGCCUUGAGGUAAAAGAAUUAUGGGGGUAGAGCACUGAAUGAGGUAAGGGCCAAACCAGGUUACUGAACUCUAUCAAACUGCGAAUACCAUAAUUAGAAUACUCAGGAGUCAGACUGCGGGAGCUAAGUUCCGUGGUCAAAAGGGAAAGAGCCCAGACCGACAAUUAAGGUCCCAAAGAUAUAGUUAAGUGGAAAACGAUGUGAAUUUGCAUAAACAACCAGGAUGUUGGCUCAGAAGCAGCCACUCAUUCAAAGAGUGCGUAACAGCUCACUGGUCGAGUGAAUUUGCGCGGAAAAUUACCGGGGCUAAACUAUACACCGAAAUUUCGGAUUUACGUAUGAAAAUAUGUAAGUGGUAGAGGAGCAUUCUGUAGUAGGACGAAGUCAAAGCGAAAGCAUUGGUGGACGAGGCAGAAGAGAGAAUGCUGGAAUAAGUAGCGAGAGCAAGGUGAGAAUCCUUGCCGUCGAAAGUCUAAGGUUUCCUGGGGAAGGUUCGUCCGCCCAGGGUAAGUCGGGGCCUAAGGAGAGGCCGAAAGGCGUAUCUGAUGGAUAGCAGGUGGAGAUUCCUGCACUAUAGCUAGUUUUAAAAGAUGCAAGGGACGCAGUAGAGGAAGAUAACCAAGGAAGAGGAAAGACUUGGUCCGCAAGGGAUAGUGAAAAUUAAUAGUAACGAAAUAUCAAGAAUCACACUGACGAGAAAAGCUUGUAGAUAUUAACUAGAAAUACCCGUACCGCAAACCGACACAGGUAGAUGAGGAGAGGAUCCUAAGACGAGCGGGAGAAGCAUUGUUAAGGAACUCGGCAAAAUAACCCCGUAACUUCGGGAGAAGGGGAACCUAAGUAAAAUUAGGUCGCAGAGAAAAGGCCCAAGCAACUGUUUAACAAAAACACAGGUUUCUGCAAAAUCGAAAGAUGAAGUAUAGGAGCUGACGCCUGCCCAGUGCUGGAAGGUUAAGGGAAAGAGUUAGAUGUAAGUCGAAGCUUAGAACUAAAGCCCCAGUGAACGGCGGCCGUAACUAUAACGGUCCUAAGGUAGCGAAAUUCCUUGUCAGGUAAG
rnacentral:rRNA from 1 species